UAAGCCCACACACACUUGCAUUGAGUAGAGGAAGAAAGGGAGACUUAGAGAGAGAAUUAAAGAAAGAAAGAGAAAGGUGGAGAGACGGAAGAUGGAAAGAAGAAGAGAAUAAGAGGAAGAGAGAAAGAAGAGUCGAGAUUUUAGAGGUUCUUAAACCUAGAGGUUGAUUCCCCGAUUAUAUCAUCUAUUCUUGAGGGGCCAAGGGAUCAAAGAACUGUUGGAAAAAGCUUGAACUCCAAAAAAAAUUGAAUCACACAUUCUAGCCAAAGGUUUUUCCACCCCUUCUUGUCAGCAAGCUCAAUAGCUAGGAUAGCAUCCACAAUUUCUGCAUGCAAAGAAGUUUGGAUCCCCAAGUGAGUUGCAAAACAACCAAAAAAAGACCCCUAUGAUUUGUGAAGUUAUAAAGGUGCCAGUGACGUGAGUUUUGCUCACUACCAUAUAAAUAUAUUGCUGAACUGAAAAAGAACGAUCGUGGAACCGCCUUUGGUUUCUACUAUGCCAGAUUGGGGUGACCAGUAAGAAUGCUUGGAAGAGAUGAAUGCACGAAUUGAAGUAGUGCCAAUCCUGCAAUCUAAGGCAUCCCUUAUCCAAAUCCACAAACAAGAAGCAAAAGAGUAUUGCAAAAAACGGUGGUCAGCAGUUUCAUAAUUUUUACCCCAGAGAGAGCACAUGGAAACUAUGUAGCAGCAUUUUUUCACAAAGCUUAUCAUCAGUUGGGAGGUUACCAUGUGAAAGUCUCCAGAGUUCAGAUGACAAAGGAGGCAGAUGGAGGUAUGUCAGUUAGGGUGCCAAUGUUAGAAUAAUAAAAAAAAUCUGAAAAUUAAAAAUUCAUAUACUUUUUCAUUCAAUUUUAUCAUAUCUACGUAUUAUAUUUAAUAGAAAUCAUACUUUUUGUUAUUAAAUAGUCAAUUUUACUUGAUUAUAUAUUUUUUGGUAGACAAUUUGUUGGUAACUUUUCAAUCACUUAUUUGUUAACUAUGCGUACUAAUUUCCUUGCAAUGUUACACUACAAGUAGAGGUAAAUUCGAAUUCAAAAACCACAAGAACAAUACAUGGAACAUGGAGAGUGUUCCUUAAAAUUUUAUUUCUGAGAUCAAUUAAACGAGUUCAGACACAACAAAGCAAGAACAUUACAUAAUUAAAG